UCUGGGAGCGGCCGAUGUCGGAUUAGCUAGUUGGUGGGGUAAAGGCCUACCAAGGCGACGAUCCGUAGCGGGUCUGAGAGGAUGAUCCGCCACACUGGGACUGAGACACGGCCCAGACUCCUACGGGAGGCAGCAGUGGGGAAUUUUGGACAAUGGGCGGAAGCCUGAUCCAGCCAUGCCGCGUGAGUGAAGAAGGCCUUCGGGUUGUAAAGCUCUUUCG
rnacentral:rRNA from 1 species